UACGUAGGGGGCAAGCGUUAUCCGGAUUUACUGGGUGUAAAGGGAGCGUAGACGGCCAGACAAGUCUGAAGUGAAAAUCCAGAGCUUAACGUUGGAAGUGCUUUGGAAACUGCCGGGCUAGAGUGCAGGAGGGGCAGGCGGAAUUCCUAGUGUAGCGGUGAAAUGCGUAGAGAUAUGGAGGAACACCAGUGGCGAAGGCGGCUUCCUGGUCUGCAACUGACACUGAGGCGCGAAAGCGUGGGGAGCAAACAGG
rnacentral:rRNA from 1 species